AUAUAUAUAUUAAAAGGAUGAGAAAUACUUUGAGAAAGCAAAGUAUAUAAAAAGGCCCGAGAUUUAACGGGACUUAAAAUAAAACGGGUUGUGAACAAGAUAAAGUAACUAGGAAAUAAAUAACUUAGUACAAGUCUUGUAAUUAAAUGAAAGAAGUUAGUUUGAUGUGAAAAUAGUCUAAAAAUAUAAACUAAAGGGGCUGAUUAUGUAUAAGUGGCCAAACUAGACUUUUAUAAAAAAAAAAAAAAGAAAUCACACACACACAUCAGUGUGUGCGUGGGGAACGACCAGAGCAGGAAGAAAAAGGGUAAAACCCUAAACUCCACAAAAUCUUCUAAUUGAAGGUGCAAUUGAAGACCAAACUCGGAUUUGAAUACAUAUAAACGAUCACCGAGCUAAGGGGAUCGUAAGUUGACUCUAAACAAGCUAGGUGGGAGCUUGGAAAGGAACGGGUCAAACGGAUCAUGGAUGCGAAGAAUGUUUGCGCGAACGCGAGGUAAGUAAAGCUUACACCCAUUUGUAGUAAACGUAUGUAUUUUAUAGAUGAUAAAUGUGACAACCGAUUACAUUCGAAAUUGAAGUUCCGACACUAAGCAAUAUGAGUCGGAACGAAUAAAAAUGAUCAAAACCAUGGUUAAUGGUAAAAUGGACAAAAGGGUAAUUUAGUCGUGGAUCGACUAAGAAUUUAUAAGAUUUCUUUAAGGUUACCUUAUAGCGAAACUAGUAAUGGGAAAAAAGGGUAAAUUAGUCACAUGUUGACUAUAUGUAAGUUGGGAUUAAAAAGAAUACCCAUGGUGUAAGCCAUAACGAGUUAGAUACGUAAGAAGAAUGAUCUUGUAGUUAAAACUUGAAAUGGGUUGAAUGGGAUAUUAAAAGCCAUGAUUUGACAUAAGUAUAAAUGUUUGGUCAUAAAUACCAAAUGGGUCAAAUGGUGGUGAUGACACUAUUUGACAAUAUCGACUAAUGUUUGGUUGUUAAGUUAAAUGUUCGCAGAAGUGAACGGGAAGUGGAUUAUUGCGUUGCUAUAAAGUAGCGGCUAAUAAAAGAAAGGUACAAAACGGGUCUAUAUGUUGACUCGAGCCAGGUACGCAUUAAUUAGAUCAUGGCGAUAUGCGUAGUUGAAUUUUAGAAUAUAAGUUACUAUGAAAUAUAGCGAUGAUAUCGCUACAUUGAAUAUUUGGUCAAAAGAUGGUUAGAGCUCGUUGGUAGUCGUCAAAAAGGAAGGAAUUCCGUAGACGAGCCAAACGGGUCGAAUAAUCAAGUAAGGCAUGGUUAUUGUUUCGGAUUAUGAUGGUUUGAUGGUUGAUUUUGAAUAUUUUAUAACAUAUUAGAAAUAUGAGGUUUUAACGAAUUAGUAUCAUAGAAAACUGAAAACCGAGAGUUGGGUCUUGGAGUAAUGAUCAAACAAAACAAAACCUGACAUUCCAGGUACUACCGUAAAUUACGGUAGAACCGUAAAUUACGGUGGUUGUGAUAUGGUUUACGGAGCAGAUCUCCUGGUUUACGGUGACCAGACACUUCCAGGUCUCACCGUAAAUUACGGUGAUACCGUAAUUUACGGUGGAUUCAGAAUCACUUUUUAUAUUUUUGUUAUUUAUAAUGUGGCAUUAAGCCUUGGGAUUAUAUUAUUAUAUAUCAACGUCAAAACUAAUGAUUUUAACGGUUUUGAUCAUAGGAGAAUGCCAAGAGUGCCCGGAUGAAGAUCAAGCUCGAUGAGGAACCGAACACAAUAAAAUCUAACACUCGGGAUUAAAGCUUCCGCACGGCGUUACGCCAUAUCUUUUAAACAACGAACUUAUCUAUAUUAUGUUGAAAACUUUUAAGUUGUAAAAGUUUUAGAUUACUUGUAUUUUCUAAGAAUACUUAAUCAAAUUUCAUGUUUAUUUUCGUUAUUUAUACGAAAACUAUAAAAAUUAUAACAUGGGUGUUACAAGUUGGUAAUCAGAGCUCAUGGUUAAAGAGUGAGGUGUGUUCGGUUCGAGGCUUGAUCGUAAAUCCAGUAAGUACAUGUAUGUUAAUGGUUUAGUGUGCUAAAGUGUUGUAAACAACACAUAGGGUUAUCGUGUGAUACACGUUACCCUAAUUAAAAUGAUUGAUAUAGUUAAUAAAAAUACGCGCGUUGGCGCGUAUAGAAAAAGCCUUGUAUUAUAAUACGGGUGAUUAUUAAAGUUGAUAUAAUUAACUCUUGUAAAUGUUUCAGUUGAAGGACACUCGCAUCUAAAGAUAGCGGAAGUCUAACAAAUUGUUGACUUGACGAAGGAACGGUCCAAAGUACGACAAGUAGGAACAUGCUCACCAAGGACCUAAAUCGCGUAACGAUCGCGAACAAGGCUAACGGCAAGAGAAGCCUGACAGGGCAAGCAUUACCAGGUGCACAUUUUUAUAAUUUUAAUUGCACGAAUAGAAAUAUGCAACAAAUACAUAGAAACUGAUAGUUGCAUAUGUAAAUAGAAAAACUUGGAAAAACCUGAAUAGAAUACCUAUUCGGGAUAUUGUUUCCAAGAUAAAUGAAUAGAGGUGUUACUUACAUGGGGCGUGACGUGAAAAUUAUAAAAAGGUCAUGUAUGUCAUGUGUUGAUCGCCUACUCUGGCCAAGUAGGUAGUGAACACAUGAUACCAUGAACUUUUCAUAAUGGACAUGCUUACAUCCGAUGUAAUAAGGACGGGGUAAGUGGGACAAAUUAAAGGUACCCAAAUGAAUCAAAUAAGCAAAAUAUGUGAUCACAAUGUAAACGCACAGCCGAGUGACGGAAGCGUAUUACAUUAAGAUAAUGAGCCUGAGUGAAGGGACAAAGAAACACGUAAGAUAAUCAGACAUGUAUUGGGAAGGGGUGUACUUACACUCGAACCCGGAAAAUGCAAACAUGUAAAAUGAUGUAGACAUGUAUUGGGAAGGGGUGUACUUACACUCGAACCCGGAAAAUGCAAACAUGUAAAAUGAUGUUGACAUGUAUUGGGAAGGGGUGUAUUUACACUCGAACCCGGAAAAUGCAAACAUGUAAAAUGAUGUAGACAUGUAUUGGGAAGGGGUGUAUUUACACUCGAACCCGGAAAAUGCAAACAUGUAAAAUGAUGUAGACAUGUAUUGGGAAGGGGUGUAUUUACACUCGAACCCGGAAAAUGCAAACAUGUAAAAUGAUGUAGACAUGUAUUGGGAAGGGGUGUAUUUACACUCGAACCCGGAAAAUGCAAACAUGUAAAAUGAUGUAGACAUGUAUUGGGAAGGGGUGUACUUACACUCGAACCCGAAGAAUACAAAUAUGACUCUUAACGGGCCGAUUUUGUAAAACACCAAAUUUGAGAACGAAGUAGGAAUAUAAAAGUGAAACGAAGUCAUAAUACAUACCGUAAGGGUUGCAAUAAUAACGACUUCGGUAAAACACCCGGUUGGUGGGUAAGGAUUUAAACACAUGCGUAGACUGAGAAACAGGAACGCGAAAUAGAAAGUCAAAAGACUCGGAAUAUGAGUCAUGACUAAAAGAUGAUAAGAAUUUUCGCAAACAUAAAUUUUGGUAAUUACGUUCAACCAUUUCAAAGUUGGAUGGGUCAAAUAAAGAACGAAGUCUGACAUUCAUGGGUGAUGAAAAUUCACCUAAAAUGAGUCAAACGAGUCAAUUAAGGAAAAUGGAGGGGCCAAAAAGGACCUACGGGUCAAUAGUGUAAAGCAAGGGAACAAGUUAUGAUUCCCCGCGUAAAAUGAAAACGGAAAAGAAUAAAUUAUGGAUUGUCAAUUUCCAUAAUAUGAAUAAUUGACAUAGUUAAAAAGGAAAAACGUUAAACUAAAAUUUAGUUUUAGUAAGAAACAAUGUUUUAACAAACAUGAAUACUAUAGACGAAUUUGGAAAUAACAAAUAUCAAAGAGUAUGAGUCUUAACAUCGAUAGGUGCAAGACGAUAUAUUCGAAAAGUGGUAUUUUCGAAAAUGAAAGGUUGAUAUAAGUUAAACAUGACGUGACACGAUCACGGUCAAGAAAUGCAAUGUGAGGUGUAAUCACAUUCUCACCAAGCGAGUGGCAAAAAGAAACCGGACUAAUAAGUCUAGUUAGCGAAACCGGUUAAGGUCAGCAAUUUAAGUUAAGAAAUUUGGUUUGCUUGUAAGCAGUAAAUUCGGUAUGACUGAACCGAAUAAAUAAAUUUGAAAACAAAGAAAAUUGUUGCUAAAAGUGAAAUAUUUCACUAAAGACCUUUAAACGGGUCAAAGUAACGGAUUCACAAGGAAUUCGAUAGGAUAUAAAAGCGAGGAAUAUCGCUAAGUAACUAAACUAGUGGAAAUAACAAGAUCACGUUAUUCCAAGUUGCACUGUGUUGUAUGAGAUACGUAGACAAAAAAAAAAUAACCAAAAAGAUGUUACCAUACUUUUCUGGUAAUACUAAUAAUUGGAUAAAAGUAUAAAUAAUGAUUAGAAGAAUUCUCAGCUCAAAUACAUUGAGUUUAAACUCAAUGAAUUAUGUAAGAAAAGGUUUCGAGGACGAAACCUCUUUAAGGGGGGUAGACUUGUAACACCCCGAAAACGGGUUUGGUAAUCAAACCACGUUAACACUACACGACGGGUAAAAUACAGUAAGUGAUAAAACUUACCCGGUAAAUUAUAGUAUUUAAAUAAAUAAAUCUAAUAUAUAUAUAUAUAUAUAUAUAUUAAAAGGAUGAGAAAUACUUUGAGAAAGCAAAGUAUAUAAAAAGGCCCGAGAUUUAACGGGACUUAAAAUAAAACGGGUUGUGAACAAGAUAAAGUAACUAGGAAAUAAAUAACUUAGUACAAGUCUUGUAAUUAAAUGAAAGAAGUUAGUUUGAUGUGAAAAUAGUCUAAAAAUAUAAACUAAAGGGGCUGAUUAUGUAUAAGUGGCCAAACUAGACUUUUAUAAAAAAAAAAAAAAAGAAAUCACACACACACACAUCAGUGUGUGCGUGGGGAACGACCAGAGCAGGAAGAAAAAGGGUAAAACCCUAAACUCCACAAAAUCUUCUAAUUGAAGGUGCAAUUGAAGACCAAACUCGGAUUUGAAUACAUAUAAACGAUCACCGAGCUAAGGGGAUCGUAAGUUGACUCUAAACAAGCUAGGUGGGAGCUUGGAAAGGAACGGGUCAAACGGAUCAUGGAUGCGAAGAAUGUUUGCGCGAACGCGAGGUAAGUAAAGCUUACACCCAUUUGUAGUAAACGUAUGUAUUUUAUAGAUGAUAAAUGUGACAACCGAUUACAUUCGAAAUUGAAGUUCCGACACUAAGCAAUAUGAGUCGGAACGAAUAAAAAUGAUCAAAACCAUGGUUAAUGGUAAAAUGGACAAAAGGGUAAUUUAGUCGUGGAUCGACUAAGAAUUUAUAAGAUUUCUUUAAGGUUACCUUAUAGCGAAACUAGUAAUGGGAAAAAGGGUAAAUUAGUCACAUGUUGACUAUAUGUAAGUUGGGAUUAAAAAGAAUACCCAUGGUGUAAGCCAUAACGAGUUAGAUACGUAAGAAGAAUGAUCUUGUAGUUAAAACUUGAAAUGGGUUGAAUGGGAUAUUAAAAGCCAUGAUUUGACAUAAGUAUAAAUGUUUGGUCAUAAAUACCAAAUGGGUCAAAUGGUGGUGAUGACACUAUUUGACAAUAUCGACUAAUGUUUGGUUGUUAAGUUAAAUGUUCGCAGAAGUGAACGGGAAGUGGAUUAUUGCGUUGCUAUAAAGUAGCGGCUAAUAAAAGAAAGGUACAAAACGGGUCUAUAUGUUGACUCGAGCCAGGUACGCAUUAAUUAGAUCAUGGCGAUAUGCGUAGUUGAAUUUUAGAAUAUAAGUUACUAUGAAAUAUAGCGAUGAUAUCGCUACAUUGAAUAUUUGGUCAAAAGAUGGUUAGAGCUCGUUGGUAGUCGUCAAAAAGGAAGGAAUUCCGUAGACGAGCCAAACGGGUCGAAUAAUCAAGUAAGGCAUGGUUAUUGUUUCGGAUUAUGAUGGUUUGAUGGUUGAUUUUGAAUAUUUUAUAACAUAUUAGAAAUAUGAGGUUUUAACGAAUUAGUAUCAUAGAAAACUGAAAACCGAGAGUUGGGUCUUGGAGUAAUGAUCAAACAAAACAAAACCUGACAUUCCAGGUACUACCGUAAAUUACGGUAGAACCGUAAAUUACGGUGGUUGUGAUAUGGUUUACGGAGCAGAUCUCCUGGUUUACGGUGACCAGACACUUCCAGGUCUCACCGUAAAUUACGGUGAUACCGUAAUUUACGGUGGAUUCAGAAUCACUUUUUAUAUUUUUGUUAUUUAUAAUGUGGCAUUAAGCCUUGGGAUUAUAUUAUUAUAUAUCAACGUCAAAACUAAUGAUUUUAACGGUUUUGAUCAUAGGAGAAUGCCAAGAGUGCCCGGAUGAAGAUCAAGCUCGAUGAGGAACCGAACACAAUAAAAUCUAACACUCGGGAUUAAAGCUUCCGCACGGCGUUACGCCAUAUCUUUUAAACAACGAACUUAUCUAUAUUAUGUUGAAAACUUUUAAGUUGUAAAAGUUUUAGAUUACUUGUAUUUUCUAAGAAUACUUAAUCAAAUUUCAUGUUUAUUUUCGUUAUUUAUACGAAAACUAUAAAAAUUA